rnacentral:rRNA from 1 species
UAGGGAAUCUUCCGCAAUGGACGCAAGUCUGACGGAGCAACGCCGCGUGAGUGAAGACGGAUUUCGGUUCGUAAAACUCUGUUCUUAGAGAAGAACAGCGCAUAGAGUAACUGUUAUGCGUGUGACGGUAUCUAACCAGAAAGCCACGGCUAACUACGUGCCAGCAGCCGCGGUAAUACGUAGGUGGCAAGCGUUUUCCGGAUUUAUUGGGCGUAAAGCGAGCGCAGGCGGUCAAUUAAGUCUGAUGUGAAAGCCCCCGGCUCAACCGGGGGGGGUCAUUGGAAACUGGUUGGCUUGAGUGCAGAAGAGGAGAGUGGAAUUCCAUGUGUAGCGGUGAAAUGCGUAGAUAUAUGGAGGAACACCAGUGGCGAAGGCGACUCUCUGGUCUGUAACUGACGCUGAGGCUCGAAAGCGUGGGUAGCAAACAGG